GACAGAGGGUGCAAACGUUGUUCGGAAUUACUGGGCGUAAAGCGCGUGUAGGCGGCUAUGCAAGUCGGGCGUGAAAUCCCUCGGCUCAACCGAGGAAGUGCACUCGAAACUGCGUAGCUAGAGUCUCGGAGAGGAAGGUGGAAUACUUGGUGUAGAGGUGAAAUUCGUAGAUAUCAAGUGGAACACCGGUGGCGAAGGCGGCCUUCUGGACGAUGACUGACGCUGAGACGCGAAAGCGUGGGGAGCGAACAGG
rnacentral:rRNA from 1 species